rnacentral:rRNA from 1 species
CAUGCCGUAAACGAUGAUUACUAGGUGUGGGUGGACUGACCCCAUCCGUGCCGGAGUUAACACAAUAAGUAAUCCACCUGGGGAGUACGACCGCAAGGUUAAAACUCAAAGGAAUUGACGGGGGCCCGCACAAGCAGUGGAGUAUGUGGUUUAAUUCGAAGCAACGCGAAGAACCUUACCGGGGCUUGACAUCCUGCGAAUCCUUCAGAGAUGAGGGAGUGCCUUCGGGAACGCAGAGACAGGUGG